rnacentral:rRNA from 1 species
AUUAACGCUAGCGGCAGGCAUAAUACAUGCAAGUUGAACGGCAGCACAGGUAGCAAUACUAGGUGGCGAGUGGCGCACGGGUGCGUAACACGUAUGCAACCUACCCUAUACAGGCGAAUAACCUUUAGAAAUGAGGGCUAAUACGCCGUAGUAUUACAGAUGGGCAUCUAUUUGUAAUUAAAGAUUUAUCGGUAUAGGAUGGGCAUGCGUCCCAUUAGUUAGUUGGUAAGGUAACGGCUUACCAAGACGAUGAUGGGUAGGGG